AUUGAACGCUGGCGGCAGGCCUAACACAUGCAAGUCGAGCGGAUGAAGGGAGCUUGCUCCUGGAUUAAGCGGCGGACGGGUGAGUAAUGCCUAGGAAUCUGCCUGGUAGUGGGGGAUAACGUCCGGAAACGGGCGCUAAUACCGCAUACGUCCUGAGGGAGAAAGUGGGGGAUCUUCGGACCUCACGCUAUCAGAUGAGCCUAGGUCGGAUUAGCUAGUUGGUGGGGUAAAGGCCUACCAAGGCGACGAUCCGUAACUGGUCUGAGAGGAUGAUCAGUCACACUGGAACUGAGACACGGUCCAGACUCCUACGGGAGGCAGCAGUGGGGAAUAUAGGACAAUGGGCGAAAGCCUGAUCCAGCCAUGCCGCGUGUGUGAAGAAGGUCUUCGGAUUGUAAAGCACUUUAAGUUGGGAGGAAGGGCAGUAAGUUAAUACCUUGCUGUUUUGACGUUACCAACAGAAUAAGCACCGGCUAACUUCGUG
rnacentral:rRNA from 1 species